rnacentral:rRNA from 1 species
UUCCGGUUGAUCCCGCCGGACCCGACUGCUAUUGGGGUGAGGCUAAGCCAUGCGAGUUAGCUCUCUUAGCCAUGAUAGAGGGCGGCGUACGGCUCAGUAACAUGUGGUCAAUCUACCCUCAGGACGGAGAUAACCUCGGGAAACUGAGGCUAAUAUCCGAUAGAUAAUGGAUCCUGGAAUGGUUCAUUAUCCAAAUGACACAUUGCUCACGCGCAGUGUGUUGCCUGAGGAUGAGACUGCAUCCUAUCAGGUAGUUGGUGGGGUAACGGCCCACCAAGCCUAUAACGGGUACGGGCCCUGAGAGGGGGAGCCCGGGGAUGGGCACUGAGACAAGGGCCCAGGCCCUACGGGGCGCAGCAGGCGCGAAACCUCUGCAAUGCGCGAAAGCGCGACAGGGCCACCCCGAGUGCUAGCCGCUGAGGUUAGCUUUUCCUUAGUGUAGUAAGCUAAGGGAAUAAGCGGGGGGCAAGCCUGGUGUCAGCCGCCGCGGUAAUACCAGCUCCGCGAGUGGUCGGGACGAUUAUUGGGCCUAAAGCGUCCGUAGCCGGCCUAUCAAGUCUCUGGUUAAACCUCAAGGCUCAACCUUGAGAUUGCUGGAGAUACUGUUAGGCUAGGGGGCGGGAGAGGUUGAGGGUACUACGCGGGUAGGGGCGAAAUCCUAUAAUCCGCGUAGGACCACCAGUGGCGAAGGCGCUCAACUGGAACGCGCCCGACGGUGAGGGACGAAAGCCAGGGGAGCAAAGGGGAUUAGAUACCCCCGUAGUCCUGGCUGUAAACGAUGCGGGCUAGGUGUUGGGUUGGCUUCGUGCCAACCCGGUGCCGCAGUGAAGACGAUAAGCCCGCCGCCUGGGAAGUACGGCUGCAAGGCUGAAACUUAAAGGAAUUGGCGGGGGAGCACCACAAGGGUGAAGCCUGCGGUUUAAUU